rnacentral:rRNA from 1 species
UACGAAGGGGGCGAGCGUUGUUCGGAUUUACUGGGCGUAAAGGGCGCGUAGGCGGCCAGCUUUGUCAGGCGUGAAAGCCCUGGGCUCAACCUGGGAAUUGCGCUUGGGACGGGUUGGCUUGAGAUCGGGAGAGGAGAGUGGAAUUCCCAGUGUAGAGGUGAAAUUCGUAGAUAUUGGGAAGAACACCCGUGGCGAAGGCGGCUCUCUGGGACGGUACUGACGCUGAGACGCGAAAGCGUGGGGAGCGAACAGG